rnacentral:rRNA from 1 species
UACGUAGGGUGCGAGCGUUAAUCGGAAUUACUGGGCGUAAAGCGUGCGCAGGCGGUUCGUUGUGUCCGAUGUGAAAGCCCCGGGCUUAACCUGGGAAUGGCAUUGGAAACUGGCGAGCUUGAGUGCGGCAGAGGGGGGUGGAAUUCCGCGUGUAGCAGUGAAAUGCGUAGAGAUGUGGAGGAAUACCGAUGGCGAAGGCAGCCCCCUGGGCCAAUACUGACGCUCAUGCACGAAAGCGUGGGGAGCAAACAGG